rnacentral:lncRNA from 1 species
AUUAUUAUUCCCUGACAACCUAUUCAUGGAAUUUGUGUAUAAGUAUUUUUCAUGUAUAGUAUUAAGGGGUUAAUUGGAGAGCAGAGAGGCCAGAUAAGUGGCUAGCAGGUACAAAUGAGUUAUUUAUGGAAUAGUUAUGAAUGCUGGAGAAAAAAAAGGAUUGAAUAAAUUGAAAUUAAUAGAAUUAUUAUGGUUGCACAAAUUUCAGACUAACAACUUGAUAGAGAAACUUAAAAAAUACGUGAACAUAUCUGAAGUGAAUAUCGGAAAUCAGCCUGAGGAGACAGUAAAAGAAGAUAUAACAACAGGGCAAUUAUUGGCCGCAGAGGAUAUCAGUUUAGGGAUUCUUUUUAAGAUCUAAACUCCUUGCCCACUUUCUUUUGAGGCUUCACAUGUUUCCUUUAUGGCAUUGUUGUCCUCUUCUGAGUCCAUAUAUUGAUCUUCCUUGUCACUAAAGUACCUUUCCCAGGUCAGUUUUUUCUUUUUUUUACUUGUUUUUCAAUUUUUUUUCUUUCCUUUGUAACCAUAUUUAUCUUUUGAGAUCCUUCUCUGUUCCUGGAGUAAAAGGGUAUAUUGCUCUAAGAUUACAGAGUACUCUUCUCUGGUAUUUGGUGUAGGACUAGCUGCCCUUGUUCCUCGUGGUUUGUCUGUCAAGGAGACAGCAGUACUGGCAUGUUCUGGGAGGUUGGCAACUGUUUCAUCCAACUAUAUUUAGCAUAAUGAGUUACCAAUUCUCCCAUUGUUUUGUGGGUUAGUCUGGUCCCCACUAUGCUACUUCACUGCCCCUACCAAGUAGCCUGGGUGGAAAAGGCUCCCUGCUUUGAUUUCUACUGCCCCAGGCAUUCCCCCACCACAUGUAAGUAAGCAAAUUACUUCACUGUAGUUCUAGUUCCCCCUUCUUGCAUCCCUGUAACCUCAAGAUUCUUUUGCCAUUUGGAAGUGGAUAGUUCAUUGUUAAUUCUAGUUCCAUCUUUACUCCUUUGGAGUCCCAAGGCUCUGAUGUCACAUGAGAGUUUGAAGGUUCCUUACCUUCUCUACCAGUAUAGAGUGACUCCAGCUGGGUUCCAAGAUCUGCCAGUACUAUCAGAUUGCUCU